CUUGAAACCGUUAAGAGUGAAGCGAAGGAGGUCAGUGAUCAUGAGGCCAGGUUCUCCAGGUGCCUUGUAUACAUGUUUACGCAGGCUCUGUACCGUCCUGGUUCUCGGGACAGCGCCGGCUGGGGGCGGGUGCUAAAAGGGAUGGUGGUUGAGGAAUUCGUUUUCCGCCGUUACUCCCCACUGGCUUGCACCCCGGCCGAGGGAUCCGCGACUCGUCGUGUGAGGGCGCUGUCAAAAUGGCCUUGUCCACCCCGUCUUGAAACACGGACCAAGGAGUCUAACAUACUCGCGAGUGUUUGGGUGUAGAAAACCCGGACGCACAAUGAAAGUGAACGGCAGCUCUGCGCUGCUGGUUGGUGGGAACCCUGUUGUACUACCGGGGGGCACCAUCACCCGACCCCGAUCCCUUUGGGGUGGUUGGUUUUGAGGCAGAGCGAGUAUGAUGGGACCCGAAAGAUGGUGAACUAUUCCUGAGUAGGGCGAAGCCAGAGGAAACUCUGGUGGAGGCUCGUAGCGAUGCUGACGUGCAAAUCGCUCGUCGAACUUGGGUAUAGGGGCGAAAGACUAAUCGAACCAUCUAGUAGCUGGUUCCCUCCGAAGUUUCCCUCAGGAUAGCGGGAGCAAAUGCAAGUCAGUUUCAUCC
rnacentral:rRNA from 1 species